AGCUUUGCACAGUGGCAGUAUCGUAGCCAGUGAGGUUUAUCUGAGGCGUGAUUAUUGCUAAUUGAAAACUAAAAAUAUAUUU
rnacentral:snRNA from 1 species